GGCUCUGUGGCGCAAUGGUAGCGCGUCUGACUCCAGAUCCGAAGGUUGCGUGUUCGAAUCACGUCAGGGUCA
rnacentral:tRNA from 1 species